CAGCUCUCCGAGUGGUAGGGGUGAUUAUUGGGCUUAAAGCGUCCGUAGCCGGCCUGGCAAGUCUUCCGUUAAAUCCAGCAACCUAAUUGUUGGGCUGCGGGGGAUACUGUUAGGCUAGGGGGCGGGAGAGGCCGACGGUAUUCUCGGGGUAGGGGUGAAAUCUUAUAAUCCCGGGAGGACCACCAGUGGCGAAGGCUGUCGGCUAGCACGCGCCUGACGGUGAGGGACGAAAGCUGGGGGAGCGAACCGGAUUAGAUACCCGAGUAGUCC
rnacentral:rRNA from 1 species